UUAUUAAUACCCCCAAAAGUAUUCAAUAUUCAAUUAAACAAAUCAUUCUUCCCCCUAAGUAUAGGCGACAGAAAAGAAACAUUCAGAGCUAUAGAAAAAGUACCGCAAGGGAAUGCUGAAAAAGAAGUGAAACAACCCAGUAAAGUUUAAAAAAGCAGAGAUUUACACUCGUACCUUUUGCAUCAUGAUUUAGUCAGUAGAAACAAGCAAAAGGCACUUUAGUUUGUCUCCCCGAAACUAAGUGAGCUACUCCAAGACAGCCUAAAAUAGGGCUAACCCGUCUCUGUGGCAAAAGAGUGGGAUGAGCUUAGAGUAGAGGUGACAAACCUACCGAACUUAGUUAUAGCUGGUUGCCUGAGAAAUGAAUAGAAGUUCAGCUUUUUGGUUUCUUCCCUCCACCUGCUUAACUACAACCAAACCAAAGAAACCAAAAAAGUUAGUUAAAGGGGGUACAGCCCCUUUAAACAAGACACAACUUCACCAGCCGGGUAAAGAUCACACACAAUCAAGGUGAAAUGUUUUAGUGGGCCUAAAAGCAGCCACCUACAAGAAAGCGUCAAAGCUCCCUCAUGCCACCCCCCCCCCCCCAUUCAGAUAAUACACCCUAAACCCACUAAUAUUAUCAAGCCGCUCCAUGCUGCCAUGGAGGUGAUUAUGCUAAAAUGAGUAAUAAGAAAAGUCACCUUUUCUCCUUGCACUCGUGUAAAUCGAAACGGACCCCCCAUCGAACAUUAAUCGGCCCCAAAAAAGAGGGCAAUGAAUUAUCAACCCUAGUGACAAGAAAAACACUCAAAUAUCAACCGUUAAUCUCACACUAACAUGCUUACAAGGAAAGACUAAAAGAAAAAGAAGGAACUCGGCAAAUACAAGCCUCGCCUGUUUACCAAAAACAUCGCCUCUUGAAAACUGAGCAUAAGAGGUCC
rnacentral:rRNA from 1 species